GAGGUCCAGCCUGCCCAGUGAUUAUUCAACGGCCGCGGUAUUCUAACCGUGCAAAGGUAGCGUAAUCACUUGUUUUCUAAAUAAAGACUAGUAUGAAAGGCAUCACGAAGACUAAGCUGUCUCCUUUCUCCAAUCAGUGAACCUAAUCUCCCCGUGAAGAAGCGGGGAUCCUUCUAUAAGACGAGAAGACCCUAUGGAGCUUUAAACAAUUAUAUGUUUUUGGUUGGGGUGACCGCGGAGAAAAACUCAUCCUCCACAAUGAAAAGUAAGUCACAACUUUACGUAUCAAAAAAUUGACAUUCAUUGACCCAACAAUUGAUUAACGAACUAAGUUACCCUAGGGAUAACAGCACAAUCCGCUUCGAGAGCCCAUAUCGACAAGCGGGCUUAUGACCUCGAUGUUGGAUCGGGAUAUCCUAGUGGUGCAGCCGCUACUAAAGGU
rnacentral:rRNA from 2 species